AACAAAACCUUUUCCAUCAGCAAAGCAUUUUAGAACCUCAAGCUACACUGUUCCCACCUGCAACUGUCUAAGGUAUUGGAGGUCAAGGACAGUCCAAGGCCAAGUCAAGGACCAUCAGGACACAGAGGAGUAACUUCUGAGGCAGCCCCCGGUGGUAACAUAAAAGCGUAAUAUGCAUCAGACAAGUGCCUUCGCUGUGAGAUGUUGGGGAACCAAGCCCAGUGGGGUGGCUGGCGUCAGCUCAGUGUUCCAGAAAAGCCAAACUGUUCACCACGACUUGCCCUGAUUUUGCCUUCACUGCUAUUCAAAGAGGCCUGAAGCAGUUACUGAAAGCAAUUCCAAGAAAUUGAGUUAAAAAAAGAAAAUUAAAGUUUAGAAAAAAAUCAUUUGAAUAAGUGCGUAGACUUACAAAUAAAUUCUGAAUGGAACAGAAUAUUUGGGGGGUUCAUAACCUUUGGUAUAUUUGUUUUAAAAACCAGCCGCACCUCAAACACACCCACCAACAAUGAGACGAAUGGCUAGCACUUAUGAGGAAUUAUUAUUCAUUUAAAAUACCCUUUAAACUAUGUCACAAAGAUAAAUUUGUUUAGUCCUUACCUGUCCCCACGCUUCAAAAUAAACCAUAAUAUUUCUAUUGAAGCCAGUUUCUUGUUCUUGGAAUCAGCUUUUUGAGUUGUCAGUUAGGCUAGAUGAGCUGAUUAGUAUGGAACUUAACACUGUCAGUAGCAAAACAGGUGCUCUAUCAGAGAAAUAUCAAUCCAUUUUAGGAAUGUUUUUGAGAGUGAACUGUGGUAUCUAUGAGAGAAAAAUCAAGCCUUUUCCCUCUUCUGGUCUGCUACGGUAAAUGGUGUGACACAAGGAUGUUUCACUGCCCAAUUAGCGUGGUCCAUUUUAAAGUGAAUCUGUUAUUUUCCUUUCCUUCCUCAUUCUUGACUUUUAGACACUGCAAGUUAACCUCAAAGAAUGUCUUCUUUGGGCAUAAUUUUACAAAUAUUCUUUAAGAUCCUUUAUCACAUUUCAAAGCACUUUGCGAAAACAAAAUGUCCUCAGUGGGGCAGGUGAGAUCUCAGGAAUAGUGAUAGAAUUCAUUUUAAAUAAGUCUGUGUGAUUUUUCUACUGUAUCAUUUCAGGGACUUUGCUUAAAGAGGCUUUAAGGAAGAACUUAAAAUGGAGAAAGCCAACUUUUGAACGUGGUGAUCAGGUUGCCUUCAGUCUCUUCUACGUCAGGGAGUCAAGGGGCUGUGGAACCAUCCGUUCCACCUGCUACAUGCUUUCUCACCCUUCUCCUAAACUGACAAAUACUAUGUGGCAUCUCCAUCAUGGUUGACAUUGCUAGGCCCUACCUUAUUCAACUCUAACUGAAAAAUGGGGAGCAAGACGGGAUUAUGUAAGAAAAAAUGAAAAACUUUGAGGGCCAACUAACAGAUUUCCUAAACUAAUGAUGUAUUUUAAUAUUCCAGGGAUUUGAUUUAGGACAAAUUGUUAUUUGGAUGGAUGCUUGUCUAUUGAGAGAGUAAUUGUUAAACUAAAGGAAACUGGUCACAAAUACUUUAGCAAUGGCUAUAAAUGACCAGUGGGCCAAGGAUUUUGAGAUCGUGAGAGACUUCUCCAGGAAUGUUGUCAUUCAUUUCACUCCAGUGUGGCUCUUUUCCUCCAUCUGCGCUCACUUUUCUAGGAGAACUAUGGCCACUAUGGAGAAUAUGAAAACAUUGCUGAAGGAGGUGAAAGCCAUUUCAGAAGAAGAGUUAUAUAUUAGCUUUUGGCAGUGACAGCGUUAUGGGCACGGACAUUCAGCCUUUCCAGUUGACUGCUUUGAAGGGGCAAUGUUCACGUGGAAGUAUACCUCCUAGUACGUUUGCUAAAAUAAAAUCAGCUUCAUUACCUAAUAACAUAAAUGACUUUGGGAGAAAA